rnacentral:tRNA from 1 species
GAUAGAAUGUCUGAUUUAAGUAAUAAAUUGUAAAUUUAUUUAAGAAAAAUUUUUUUCUUCUAUUA